AAGUUGGAGCGCUAAGUUGUACCUGACUCCCAGCAACAGCGUGUUGCUGACGGCCAUCGCACUGAUCGGAGUGUGCGUCUUCAUCCUUGUCAUUAUUGGCAUCCUCCACUGGAAAGAGAAGAAAGCGGACGACCGAGAGAAGAGACAGGAAGCCCACCGUUUCCAUUUUGAUGCCAUGUGAAGGAAGAGAACUGCAUUAUGGGAGAACAUCCUCUCCCGUCCUCUGCCUCACGGUCCUCCCCCCUUAACACCACAUUUUCUCUGUUUCAUUUCUCGGGCCAAUAAAUGGAUCCUCAUUUGCCUCAAAACGGUUCUAUUUGAUAUUUUUCAGCUCCUCAGAUGUGAAAUAUUUAUGUUGCGUGUCAUUUAUUCAUUCCAGUGUUAGAUGUACAGGAGCUGCAACAAUGCCAUGGAGACACUCCUAAUAGGGAUCCCUCGUCAUGGUGUAAGUAGAUUUUAACAAAACGUUGCAGAUUAAACGCCCAACAAGUUAUGUUGCAUUCACUGGAAGGGAAGCAUCUUUGGCACUGAGUGUUAAAAGAUAUCAUUUUACUUGAAAUCCAUGUGCGUGCUACUGUAAAUUCUCUUUGUCUAGUUGAUUUACCUCUGUCCUUUUCAUUCGUAUGAGGUAUAAUAAAGACAUUCUUCCGAUUUUGUCACCUGUGAAAUUAAACUGAAUCUCCGCCUUGCAACCGCGACGGCAACCUGUGCAAAGAAGUGAACAAAAAGACAGACUUGUGCAAUGUCAUGAUUCCUGUGGGACGUUUUUUUCUGCUACCAAUCUCACAAAAAACAUGAACUACCAGCAGGUCCGCUGAGAGCAAAUCACAGUGCAUCAUGGGAGUGCCAACAAAAAUAGUUUAUUUCUAAUGCUACUGCACUGAGCUUGGCAAAAAGUAACUCCAGCUUGCUUGAGAUGUACUUUUAAUUGUUUUUGUCUUUUUAUGGUUAAUCAAGCCAAGCGCUUUAGUUUGCUCUGAUAUUAAUUUCACAAGAAUAACUUUCCAAUUGGCACAUUUGAACUGCUGUGAUUAACUGCGGGUGUUUGUAAUUUAUUUUGUUUUUUGAUUUGCUCAUGAAUGUUCAAGCUACUAAAUGUGUUUACUUACUGAAGUCGGUAAUAAAGGUUCGACCUGCCUAAGUCAA